rnacentral:rRNA from 1 species
AUUGAACGCUGGCGGCAGGCCUAACACAUGCAAGUCGAGCGGAUGAAGGGAGCUUGCUCCUGGAUUCAGCGGCGGACGGGUGAGUAAUGCCUAGGAAUCUGCCUGGUAGUGGGGUAUAACGUCCGGAAACGGGCGCUAAUACCGCAUACGUCCUGAGGGAGAAAGUGGGGGAUCUUUGGACCUCACGCUAUCAGAUGAGCCUAGGUCGGAUUAGCUAGUUGGUGGGGUAAAGGCCUACCAAGGCGACGAUCCGUAACUGGUCUGAGAGGCUGAGCAGUCACACUGGAACUGAGACGCGGACCAGGCUCCUACGGGAGGCAGCAGUGGGGAAUAUUGGGCAAUGGGCGAAAGCCUGAUCCAACCAUGCCGCGUGUGUGAAGAAGGUCUUCGGAUUGUAAAGCCCUUUAAGUUGGGAGGAAGGGCAGUAAGUUAAUACCUUGCUGUUUUGACGUUACCAACAGAAUAAGCACCGGCUAACUACGUG